CUCCUAUAUGUCCUGGGCCGCACGCGCACUACACUGACACAGAAAACGAGCAUUCCGCUUUGCGGCCUGUGCCGAAGGGUACGGGAAAUCUUUGAAACCUGUGUCGUGAUGGGGAUAGAUCAUUGAAAUUAUUGUCCUUGAACGAGGAAUGUCUUGUAGGCGCGUUUCAUCAGAACGCACCGAAUACGUCCCUGGUUCUUGUACACACCGCCCGUCGUUGCCUGUAAUGGCUUGCGAGUAGAACCGUUUGGAGGUACCGGUGUUUACAUUGGUCCAAAAUUCGGUAAUACUUGUAAGCUAGAAGAGGCAAAAGUCGUANCA
rnacentral:rRNA from 1 species